UUAGGAUUGAAGUUUUCGGAUGGAUUUCCUAUAUGACUGAGUGGCGGACGGGUGAGUAACGCGUGGGGAACCUGCCCUAUACAGGGGGAUAACAGCUGGAAACGGCUGCUAAUACCGCAUAAGCGCACAGAAUCGCAUGAUUCAGUGUGAAAAGCCCUGGCAGUAUAGGAUGGUCCCGCGUCUGAUAGCUGGUUGGUGAGGUAACGGCUCACCAAGGCGACGAUCAGUAGCCGGCUUGAGAGAGUGAACGGCCACAUUGGGACUGAGACACGGCCCAAACUCCUACGGGAGGCAGCAGUGGGGAAUAUUGCACAAUGGGGGAAACCCUGAUGCAGCGACGCCGCGUGAGUGAAGAAGUAUUUCGGUAUGUAAAGCUCUAUCAGCAGGGAAGAAAACAGACGGUACCUGACUAAGAAGCCCCGGCUAACUACGUGCCAGCAGCCGCGGUAAUACGUAGGGGGCAAGCGUUAUCCGGAAUUACUGGGUGUAAAGGGUGCGUAGGUGGCAUGGUAAGUCAGAAGUGAAAGCCCGGGGCUUAACCCCGGGACUGCUUUUGAAACUGUCAUGCUGGAGUGCAGGAGAGGUAAGCGGAAUUCCUAGUGUAGCGGUGAAAUGCGUAGAUAUUAGGAGGAACACCAGUGGCGAAGGCGGCUUACUGGACUGUCACUGACACUGAUGCACGAAAGCGUGGGGAGCAAACAGGAUUAGAUACCCUGGUAGUCCACGCCGUANACGAUGAAUACUAGGUGUCGGGGCCGUAGANGCUUCGGUGCCGCAGCAAACGCAGUAAGCAUUCC
rnacentral:rRNA from 1 species